rnacentral:lncRNA from 1 species
GGAAUAGGAGCUAUGGAAGUAAUAAUAGGAGAAGUGGGUACCUCGAUAGGAGCAUUUGGAGUAGGCUCAGCAACUGAAUGAAUAUACGGAGGUACCUCUGGAUCAACUGUGAUACGAGUAGAGGUAGGAACUGCCGAUGCAGAUUCUGACUCAGUCACAACUGCGGUAGUAGUAGUGGGAAGCACAGAAGGCACUGCUGAAACUGGAACCCACUGCUUCUUUGGCUCCACAAACGUCACCUUGCCCUUAUCCU